AUUGAACGCUGGCGGCAUGCUUUACACAUGCAAGUCGAACGGUAACAGGCCUUCGGGUGCUGACGAGUGGCGAACGGGUGAGUAAUGCAUCGGAACGUGCCCAGAGGUGGGGGAUAACGCAGCGAAAGCUGUGCUAAUACCGCAUGUGAUCUGAGGAUGAAAGCGGGGGACCAGGCAGCAAUGUUUGGCCUCGCGCCUUUGGAGCGGCCGAUGUCAGAUUAGGUAGUUGGUGGGGUAAAGGCCUACCAAGCCGACGAUCUGUAGCUGGUCUGAGAGGACGACCAGCCACACUGGGACGGAGCCACGGCCCAGACUCCUACGGGAGGCAGCAGUGGGGAAUUUUGGACAAUGGGCGCAAGCCUGAUCCAGCAAUGCCGCGUGCGGGAAGAAGGCCUUCGGGUUGUAAACCGCUUUUGUACGGAACGAAAAGGCUCUGGCUAAUACCUGGGGCUGAUGACGGUACCGUAAGAAUAAGCACCGGCUAACUACGUG
rnacentral:rRNA from 1 species